GGAGAUUUAGAAUUCAUCAACAACUUGGAUGCCAGCUCCUUGGUCCCAUUCCUCCGGGGCAGCCACACCAGCCAUAAUCUUCUCCUGACUGCGCCAAAGAAUCUUGUCAAUAACUCCAAAUUCUUUGGCUCUUGUCGCGUCCAUGUAGAAUGGUCUUUUAAUCACAUUCGAUACUGUCUCUAGUGAAUUUCCAGUGUGCUUUGCUAGGAGUUUCACUAGUGUGUCCCUGUUUGUUAUCACCUCUUUAGCACGAAUAAGAACGUCACUAGCAGGCUUCAAACCAGAUGAAGGGGCACGGGGCUGCUGUAUCAUCGCUUUGGCAUGUGGCAUCAUAAAACGUUUGCCCUCACUUCCUGCAGCAAGCAAUAGACAAGCCUGACCAAUGGCAGCUCCAACAGCC
rnacentral:misc_RNA from 1 species